UUUACGGAGAGUUUGAUCCUGGCUCAGGACGAACGCUGGCGGCGUGCUUAAUACAUGCAAGUCGAACGGAGCUUAGCCAGUAGUUUACUGCAGGCGAAAGCUUAGUGGCGGACGGGUGAGUAACGCGUGGGUAAUCUGCCCCUAAGUCUGGGAUAACAGAGCGAAAGUUCUGCUAACACCGGAUAUACUUUCUUUAUCGCAUGGUGAAGGAAGGAAAGGUUACGCUUAGGGAUGAGCCCGCGUCCCAUUAGCUAGUUGGUGAGGUAACAGCUCACCAAGGCGACGAUGGGUAGCCGGCCUGAGAGGGUGGACGGCCACACUGGGACUGAGACACGGCCCAGACUCCUACGGGAGGCAGCAG
rnacentral:rRNA from 1 species